GGUUUGUCUUGCUGAUGGCUUCGGAGCGGAAGUUCUGGCGCAACUUCUGCGAGUCCAUUUGCCGCCCCGAUCUGUUCGAGACACACAGUGGCCG
rnacentral:tRNA from 1 species